rnacentral:rRNA from 1 species
GACGAACGCUGGCGGCGUGCUUAACACAUGCAAGUCGAGCGGAAAGGCCCUUCGGGGUACUCGAGCGGCGAACGGGUGAGUAACACGUGAGUAACCUGCCCCAGACUUUGGGAUAACCCUCGGAAACGGGGGCUAAUACCGGAUACGACACAGCUUCGCAUGGGGUCUGUGUGGAAAGUUUUUCGGUUUUGGAUGGGCUCGCGGCCUAUCAGCUUGUUGGUGGGGUGAUGGCCUACCAAGGCGACGACGGGUAGCCGGCCUGUGAGGGCGACCGGCCACACUGGUACUGAGACACGCAGCAGAAGCCUACGGGAGGCAGCAGGCGGAAAUCUUGCACAAUGGGCGGGAGCCUGAUGCAGCGACGCCGCGUGAGGGAAGACGGCCUUCGGGGUGUAAACCUCUUUCAGCAGGGACGAAGCGUAAGUGACGGUACCUGCAGAAGAAGCGACGGCCAACUACGUG